GGUGCACAUUGUUAGAACUUGGAGUUGAGGCCACUGGCUGGCUGAUGAACUCUCAGGUGUAGGUAGUGUGCUACAUGUGGGCAACUUUUUCCUUAACACCACAAGGGUCUCUGACCCAGUGAGUGGAAUUUGAUAGUGAUCCUUGCUGCAAGU
rnacentral:snoRNA from 1 species